rnacentral:rRNA from 1 species
AUUGAACGCUGGCGGCAUGCUUUACACAUGCAAGUCGAACGGUAACAGGCCGCAAGGUGCUGACGAGUGGCGAACGGGUGAGUAAUGCAUCGGAACGUGCCCAGUCGUGGGGGAUAACGCAGCGAAAGCUGCGCUAAUACCGCAUACGAUCUAUGGAUGAAAGCGGGGGACCGUAAGGCCUCGCGCGAUUGGAGCGGCCGAUGUCAGAUUAGGUAGUUGGUGGGGUAAAGGCUCACCAAGCCAACGAUCUGUAGCUGGUCUGAGAGGACGACCAGCCACACUGGGACUGAGACACGGCCCAGACUCCUACGGGAGGCAGCAGUGGGGAAUUUUGGACAAUGGGCGCAAGCCUGAUCCAGCAAUGCCGCGUGCAGGAAGAAGGCCUUCGGGUUGUAAACUGCUUUUGUACGGAACGAAACGGCUCUCACUAAUACUGGGGGCUAAUGACGGUACCGUAAGAAUAAGCACCGGCUAACUACGUGCCAGCCGCCGCAGUAACAC